rnacentral:rRNA from 1 species
CCUACGGGCGGCAGCAGUGAGGAAUAUUGGUCAAUGGGCGCGAGCCUGAACCAGCCAAGUAGCGUGAAGGAUGACUGCCCUACGGGUUGUAAACUUCUUUUAUAAGGGAAUAAAGUGCCUCACGUGUACCGUUUUGUAUGUACCUUAUGAAUAAGGAUCGGCUAACUCCGUGCCAGCAGCCGCGGUAAUACGGAGGAUCCGGGCGUUAUCCGGAUUUAUUGGGUUUAAAGGGAGCGUAGAUGGGUUGUUAAGUCAGUUGUGAAAGUUUGCGGCUCAACCGUAAAAUUGCAAUUGAUACUGGCAGUCUUGAGUACAGCUGAGGUAGGCGGAAUUCGUGGUGUAGCGGUGAAAUGCUUAGAUAUCACGAAGAACUCCGAUUGCGAAGGCAGCUUACUAAACUGCAACUGACGCUGAUGCUCGAAAGUGUGGGUAUCAAACAGGAUUAGAUACCCUAGUAGUC